rnacentral:rRNA from 1 species
UACGGGGGGAGCAAGCGUUGUUCGGAUUUACUGGGCGUAAAGGGCGCGUAGGCGGCCACCGCAAGUCGAUUGUGAAAUCUCCGGGCUUAACCCGGAAAGGUCAACCGAUACUGCGGGGCUAGAGUGCAGAAGGGGCAACUGGAAUUCUCGGUGUAGCGGUGAAAUGCGUAGAUAUCGAGAGGAACACCUGCGGCGAAGGCGGGUUGCUGGGCUGAUACUGACGCUGAGGCGCGAAAGCCAGGGGAGCGAACGGG